rnacentral:rRNA from 1 species
UUGCCUCAGCUCAGAGAAGACUACCCGCUGGWCUUAAGCAUAUCAAUAAGCGGAGGA